AUACGGAGGGGGCAAGCGUUGUUCGGAAUUAUGGGGCGUAAAGGGCGCGUAGGCGGCCAGGUAAGUCGGUUGUGAAAUCCCUUGGCUCAACCAAGGAACUGCAACCGAAACUGCCGGGCUUGAGUCCGGGAGAGGGUAGUGGAAUUCCCAGUGUAGCGGUGAAAUGCGUAGAUAUUGGGAGGAACACCAGUGGCGAAGGCGGCUACCUGGACCGGUACUGACGCUGAUGCGCGAAAGCUAGGGGAGCAAACAGGAUUAGAAACCCCGGUAGUCC
rnacentral:rRNA from 1 species